rnacentral:rRNA from 1 species
AUCGAACGCUAGCGGGAUGCUUUACACAUGCAAGUCGAACGAGUGGCGGACGGGUGAGUAAUAUAUCGGAACGUGCCCAGUAGCGGGGGAUAACUACUCGAAAGAGUGGCUAAUCCCGCAUACCCUUAGAGCGGCCGGUAUCGGAUUAGCUAGUGGGUGGGGUAAAGGCACACCAAGGCAACGAUCCGUAGCGGGUUUGAGAGGACGACCGGCCACACUGGGACUGAGACACGGCCCAGACCCCUACGGGAGGCAGCAGUGGGGAAUUUUGGACAAUGGGGGAAACCCUGAGCCAGCCAUCCCGCGUGUAUGAGAAGGCCUUCGGGUGGUAAAGUACUUUUGUCAGAGAAGCGGUAUCUGCAGAAUAAGCACCGGCUAACUACGUGCCAGCAGCCGCGGUAAUUC